GUAAUGAAGAUCAAUAAAAACAAACAUAUUCAUGCUAAUGGAUUGGAUGAACAAGUACUAUAACGGUCUAUCAUUUCAACAAGAUCCUUUGGAGAACAUAUUUGCAUCUUCUGAUCUGCAAAACCCAUAAUCUUUAAAUCUUAGAAACUGUGGAUCCUCCAGCGUUUCUCUCAAGUCCAGAUACACAUCCUUGGCAGUCACGCCGCCUGCAGAGAUCAUCUUCAUCAUCAUUUUCUUUAUAGUCGAGAGAUUCAAUACCAGAUUAUGUGCCAUUGCUGAUGAACAUGGAUUCAGAGAUUCUUGUAGAACCAUGUUGCCGAAAGCAAACCGUGACAUGAAGAUGAAGAAGUCAUUCAAAUUCAUUCCUGUAGAUGAGAGAAGAGAAGGGCUUAACCAGGAAGAGCUACACUUAAAUUAGGAAAGGAGAUAAGAUAGGGAUAAGUAAUGAAUGUACCUGUGUUGGCAGCAAGAUUACGUUGGCAGAGAGCUUCAAAAUCAUCAGAGAUGUCUCUAAUGUCUUCUAUUGACUCCUCAGUGUCCUUGUAGUCCUUCCACAGUAGAUCCCACUGAAAUUCAAACAGACAAUGAGUACUUAAUCUUUUAGUUCUGUAGCAAUUUUCCUUAUAUACAAGUAGAAAUGGUCUUACCACACAAGCUAGGUUGUAUGCAUUGAGCCAAUUGUGGUUUAUAGAUAUAGUAUCUUCCUGUAAAACAUUUAAGCUCAUGCAUUGAAAUAGUGUUACUGGUCUA